AGGAGGAACAACCCCAGUGGCGGGGCCAGCUCUGGAGCCCUGGAUUCAGCCCCCGCAGUAACUCCGGAGCUCUCCAUCUGCAGGGCCUGGAGGCUCCGGGGCGGC
rnacentral:pre_miRNA from 1 species